UUUCAACUGUUUUCAUUCUGGUGCUCCUUACAUCUAGUAAUGUCAGUAACUGAAACCGCUCUUAACUUCAAGUCAUUUGACUGUGGCCAUGCUGGAGUACCGCCUUUAGUCGAGCAAAUCGACCCCAGGACUUAUUCUUUGUAAGCCUAGUACUUAUUCUAUCAGGCUCUUUUGCCGAACCGCUAUUAUGUGGAUGUUUUCUUUGAAACAUGUUGAAAUUCUUGGGGAUUUAUAUUUGCAGAGUAAUCAUGUAUUAAAAUAAAGACUUGAAUAUGCAGUA